CACUGUUCAUUUCGCGGAACGAGAAACCGUAAUCCGGUAAAGCCACCCGGUGUAUUACCUCGUACGACAAUUCUUCAGGAUAAAAAAGCAUCUAAUCUCCGAGGUUCGAUCCUGCGAAUGAAUCGAAAUAAAACUAGACUAGCGAGUAACGCGGCAUCGUGAGAAGGGCAGACUCGAUCUCUCGACCCAGCAGCAGGCUGAGGUAGGUCAGUGAACGCGACUGCAGCAGCCAGCCAGUCAGCCAGCUCCAACGGGAACACCCUCCCGUCCGGGGUAGCACCCUCUCGCCCGCGACUUGUUCGCUCAAUAUCUGGUGAAUGCGUUGCGGAGGCGAGAGGAAACCGAACUGGAAAGAGAGAGUGAAGGAGAGAAACGGAGGGGCAAGGUACCAGGGGGAGAGGGCGGACAGGUAAACUGCGGGAAGAAGAAGAAGGGGGUGAUGGUGUUUACAUUACAGCCACGAAGAAACGGAAAGGGAUCUCUCGCACCUCUGUAUAUCUGCAUUCACACUCGUCUGGUCCGUUCUUGCACUCACCGUUCUCAAUGUUGAGCUCUGCCGCUGAAGCUCUGUAAGAGGGC